CACGAUAAAGUUAAAGAGUACUUUGAUGUUGAUUUUUCGAAACUCAACAUUACAGGAACCUGCAGCCACUAUGCGACUGCCAAGAUUUACAGAUUAUGAAUAAGAAAACUUUGGCUCAAUUUAAAAAUAUCAUCAGUG